AAAAUAAUAUAAAAUAAUAUAAAAUAAUUUAAAGACAAGAUAUCCAUGACAUAUCUUUUAAAUCCACUGUCCAGAAUAACAAGGUGUCCAUAUCAAGGACAGUGAUUACAUGUAAGAGCAUGAUUUGACGGUGCUAGCCAAAGAAGGCAGCCUGACAAAAUGAUAACUGUACCAACCCAUCCAGAAGGAUGGAGAGCAACUUCAUGGACAUGUAUACCCCUUUACCUAGUUACCUGUACACCUUCAUGUGACAAAUACAAGUCAUAAGAUUUGUUCUCAUGUUUUACUGGAAUUGAUUGACACUUUUACUUCCAGGGGAACACGUCACAACACUGCAAUCCUAAUACUGAAUCAAAAAGGCCUAGUAAGCCAGUCAAUAUAACUCCAUUGUGUAGGUUGUCACCAACUGUAGCCAAUCACAUUCACAUUACCUGGACUCCAAAAUAUGGGCAGAGACAUGUGGUAACAGCAAAACUAGUUAGAGCUGUCACAUCAAGUUGUUUAAUACAGAGAUUGAAGGCACAUGGCUACAGAAACCCUGAUCAUUCAAGAGCAUUGAUCAAGGAAAAGUUGGCCCAUGACCCAGACAGUGAAGUAGCCACCACAAGUCUACGAGUCUCACUUCUCUGCCCACUUGGCAAGACACGGAUGACCCUUCCCUGUAGGGCCAUCACUUGCAACCAUUUACAGUGCUUUGAUGCAGCCUUGUAUUUGCAAAUGAAUGAAAGG